rnacentral:rRNA from 1 species
GACGAACGCUGGCGGCGUGCUUAACACAUGCAAGUCGAACGAUGAAGCCGGAGCUUGCUCUGGUGAAUUAGUGGCGAACGGGUGAGUAACACGUGAGUAACCUGCCCUUGGCUCUGGGAUAACUGCUAGAAAUGGUAGCUAAUACCGGAUACGACCCUCGGAGGCAUCUUCAGGGGGUGGAAAGAAUUUCGGUCAAGGAUGGACUCGCGGCCUAUCAGCUAGUUGGUGAGGUAAUGGCUCACCAAGGCGACGACGGGUAGCCGGCCUGAGAGGGUGACCGGCCACACUGGGACUGAGACACGGCCCAGACUCCUACGGGAGGCAGCAGUGGGGAAUAUUGCACAAUGGGCGCAAGCCUGAUGCAGCAACGCCGCGUGAGGGAUGACGGCCUUCGGGUUGUAAACCUCUUUUAGUAGGGAAGAAGCGAAAGUGACGGUACCUGCAGAAAAAGCACCGGCUAACUACGUGCCAGCAGCCGCCGUAA